UACGAAGGGGGCUAGCGUUGCUCGGAAUGACUGGGCGUAAAGGGCGCGUAGGCGGUUUGUACAGUCAGGUGUGAAAUUCCCGGGCUCAACCUGGGGGCUGCACUUGAUACGUAUGGACUGGAGUGGGGGAAGAGGGUCGUGGAAUUCCCAGUGUAGAGGUGAAAAUUCGUAGAUAUUGGGAAGAACACCGGUGGCGAAGGCGGCGACUCGUCGA
rnacentral:rRNA from 1 species